rnacentral:misc_RNA from 1 species
GUUAAAUACAACUAAUAUCAUUAAUCGAGAAGAGGAAGGGGAAGGAAGAACAAGUCAUUCACCUAAUAUAGGAUAAAUUACCUAAGAAAAAUUUAUGAACUGUAAAUAUUUCCAGGGUCUGAUAAAUAGAACCCAGAUUUUACACAAGAAAACAAGAAAAGAGCCGAUUACAGAGAUAAAGUAGAGCCAAUCUAUACACACAAGCAAUCAGUUCUCGUCUCUGUUGUAAAAAUAGAAAAAGAUUAAAAUGAGUAAAUAAAUAAAUGAAACUACAAGAGCUGUCAAAAGACCACCCAAAAUGAGUAGAGAAAUAUUAGUGGAAUAAAAUAAAUUGACUGACCUCCCUCCACCCAAAAAAAAAAAUUAAAAAAUCCCAAUCUAUUAGCGG